CCUAAUUUUUCCAUUUUGUUGAUGGAUGGAGCUUGUUGUCCAAUUCCCCUCGAAGCUUGCUACCCACCAAAUUUAGUUGAAUGCCUGUUCUGUAACUGCCGUUAAUUCAAAAUCCUAAUACAUUGCAUGAAUGCAAUCCCUUAAGUGAAUCCUUAAUCCCUUUUGCGAACUCACAAUCCUUCAUGUGAAGUCUCAAUCCCUUCCAUCAACCCUUAAUCCCUUGCGCGAAGCCAAAAUCUCAAGCAAGGUUGAGAGUUUAUGUCAUUAGCUCCAGGUAUUCCGACGGAGAAGUAUUUGGAGGCGUUAAAGUUUCCGAUUUGGGCUCUGUUUGUUCGUGAAGGGGGUUGAAAUUUCUUUCCCAACUGGUUAUUGCCUGGCUGUGUUAGUAGAUUGAAUGUGUUAUUUUAUAAAUACAUAUUAUUUCAAUUAGCACAAAAAGUGCAGAUUGUUAUGCAGAUUUUUUAUAAUUUGUAUGUUUGAGUUCCAAAUAGAAGUUAUUUCUUGUAAUGCGUAUGUUGCUCUGAAGCUAGAACUAAGAAGCAACUAAUAAGCUCUAGUAGAAGCUAGUUGCUGUAAUGUAUUUGAUUUGUGAAGUUUAGUUAGCUGAAAUUGUGAAAUGUUAUUUACUUUUAUUUUACCUCUUUCCAGUGAGGUUUACUAUCUGUAUAUGAAGGAUUGUUUCUCUUCCAUCUUGUAGAGCAACAGAAUCUUUACCUUUGAUCAAUUCCAACAACACCACUCCUAUAAACGUCGAUUUUGGUAGUGACCAUCCCUGCUUCCAGAUGCUCUGGAGCCACAUAACUUGAAGUUCUUUUCCUUUGUGAUUCUUCAGCAAGAGCAAAAUUUAAAAAUUGGACCGGGACUGGAUGUAUAAUAUGCUUGAUUCUUUUGUGUAAAAUGUGAUUGUCAGAAAAUCCUCUAGCCACCAGUUCUCAUGUUACAUUUGCUAAAAUAUGGAUUCAGACAUAACUACCGGGUAGUGUGCUUUCGUUCACGGAGUUGAGAGUUUUUCCUUCAUCCGAUUAGAUUUUCGUUUUGGACGGAUCCUGUUGAACUUGCUUCUGUGCAAGAGUACUGUUUUGGGGUUUCGUCUAAAGAGUGUUGUGCUUAUAACCACUAAGAAAGUAUAUGAUUACAAAGUGACAGUACGGUUCAUGAACGUAAUUCCAUGAUUCUCAAGGAGGGGAUACAUGGUGGUGUCCUAGUAGUGUGUAGAAUGAUUGCAUGGUAGCUCAGUCUUGGGGGUUUUCCUGACGCUCCAAUGGUCUUUCAUUCUCAAGUAGAGAGGAUUGAUCCAUGUGGUGAGGAGUAGCAGGAGGUCCUAGUCUUGGAGGCUUCCAGUAUGCUCCAGGACGCGGAAAGGACUAACCUCGUGAGUGUGGUAGGGUGGAACCCAUUGGCAACGGCUUUGCAAAGCAGUAGAGGCCACCACGAGUGCAUAACCCGCCAUAGCUCGAUGAAGAGGAGGUGUCUGUGGAGCAAGCGCUGGAAGAAGGUGAUGCUGCAGCUUAGUAUGUCUAGGAUCUUGAUUAGUUGUAUUAUUCUGAUGAUAAUUCACAGUGGUCCUUUAUGUUUAAGAGACCAACUCUGAUUUUAUUUUGGAUGACUGUAACUAAUAUAGUCUGUUAUAUGUCUCUAA